rnacentral:rRNA from 1 species
GACGAACGCUGGCGGCAGGCCUAACACAUGAAAGUCGAGCGGCAGCGGGAAAGUAGCUUGCUACUUUUGCCGGCGCGCGGCGGACGGGGGAGUAAUGCCGGGGAAAUUGCCCAGUCGCUGGGGAUAACAGUCGCAAACGACUGCUAAUACCGCAUACGCUCUACGGGGGAAAGCAGGGGACCUGCGGGCCUUGCCGGCUUGGAUACUCCCUGGUGGGAUUAGCUAGUUGGUGAGGUAAUGGCUUACCAAGGCGACGAACCCUUGCUGGUCUGAGAGGAUGAUCAGCCACACUGGAAAUGGGACACGGUCCAGACUCAUACGGGAGGGAGCAGUGGGGAAUAUUGCACGAUGGGGGAAACCCGGAUGCAGCCAUGCCGCGUGUGUGAAGAAGGCCUUCGGGUUGUAAAGCACUUUCAGCGAGGAGGAAAGGUUGAUGCCUAAGACGUAUCAACUGUGACGUUACUCGCAGAAGAAGCACCGGCUAACGCCGUGCCAGCCGCCGCAGUAA